rnacentral:lncRNA from 1 species
GCUGGAGCAGACAAGAUGGCUUCCGGGAUUUGGCGGCGCCUUUGUCUCUCGCUGCAGCCGGAGCUCCAGGUCUCGCUUUCAUUGCUCUGUGUCCUCUGCUCCUAGAGGUCCAGCCUCUGUGGGCCUGUGACCUGCAGAAAUUGAGAGAUCCACAGCUAAGACUCCAGGACCCCCUGGAAGCCUAGAAAUGGGACUGUUGACAUUUAGGGAUGUGGCCAUAGAAUUCUCUCUGGAAGAAUGGCAAUGCCUGGACACUGCACAGCGGAAUUUAUAUAAAAAUGUGAUUUUAGAGAACUACAGAAACCUGGUCUUCCUGGGUAUUGCUGUCUCUAAGCAAGACCUGAUCACCUGUCUGGAGCAAGAAAAAGAGCCUUUGACUGUGAAGAGACAUGAGAUGGUGAAUGAACCCCCAGGUAAGUGAGAAUGAAAGUGAAUACAACAGGUGACACUGAUGAGAGGUCCAAAGGUCAAAGAGAAAGCCAGUCCUUAAAAUGUGAUUUGGGAAGCCGUGUUUUAAAGGAAAUAAUUUCUGGAAAGCCUGAGUAUUUUAUGCUCUCACAUUUGAGCAUUUUCUGUCUUAUGCUUUUAAAUU